GUACUCCAGCCUGGGCAACAGAUCAAGACUGCCUCAAAAUCAAUCAAUCAAUCAAUCAAUGUAAACCAAAAGAAUUCUUCACCAUUGAAUAUGCACCACAAGCAGUGUUGAGGCAGUUUCUCCCAAUGUAUGGGAAAUGAUUACGUGCUGCCAGAUGGAAACCUGGCACUUUGGUUCCCAGGAUGGAGAGACCAUGGUGGUUGAGUGAAAAGUACCCAGCGGGUUUAAGAAUGGGAAGAAUCUGCACUGACUCUCCCCUGGCUUAUCUCCAGCAUCACAGGGCCGGUGCCCCAGGGCUCUUUCCAAUGCCCAGUUCGGAACCCAUGUGCUUCUCAUAGGUCUUCAAGGUGGAGGGAAAAGCAAGAGGCCUGGCCCCAGGCGAACCUUGGAACAUGCAUGUCCAUGGCAGACAAAACGUGCUUUCGCAGACAGGCACCGGAUCGUCCUCCCCGCGGUCAAGUAUCGACGGUAUUGAUCACACGCUCCCCGGCUAACAGGCACUGAUGAGUCCCUGCCGCCCACGGUGAUGUUCUGGCGGCUCGUGGGGACCCCACCCAGCGUCAGCCUAGCUCGUGGUCCCCCUGCCCCUGACCCCACCCAAAGAUGAGCCCCAGCAGGGGCCCUUUAGAGCACAUCGAUUCCUCUGUUGGUUCACUCCCCAGCCAGGCGUGUGUCCAGCACAGGCUUAGCACACCACGGUCACUCAGAGGAUGCUGGAUGCAUGCGUGAAUGAAUGAGUGAGGGUGUGAAUGAAUGAAUGAGUAUAGGUGUAGUUGGAAAUAGAGCUGGAAACAGAAGUCAGGGCCAUGUGAGGGGAACUGCCCCAGCUUGUUGGAGACAGCCCUUUUGAUCCCCAAGACAGGAAUCUGACAUUGAUCACCCCAGAGACCCCUCUCUGGGCCGCCUGUCAGGCUCCUGGAGGUCCCGUGGGCCAGGUGGGCCUCCUGUCUCUGUCCCCCCAGUGACGGCACUGGAAACCCACCCUGAGGGUGGCUGAACAAGGAUGCACGACUCCGCUGUCCAGAGGCGCUGCUGGCUCCUGGUGAGGAGCUUGGAAAGCAAAUUGACAUGGAACUUUGCGAAUUGCUUUCUUUCUGUUUUAUGAAAUCCUUCUCUAAAUGUCUGCAUAUUGCUCUCCUGAGGGAUAGAGGGAGAAAAAUAGCAAUUAAAGUCUUGUCAUCCGA